AUAUAAUACAAACUACUGUUAGAAAACGAAUGCAAACCUGUUUGUGAAAAUUUACUGCCCUCAAAGUGACUGUAUAUAUUUUGACCAUGGCAACUGAUGUCUGUGAUUUUUUUUCCCUCCACGGCUUUUAAACAGUUAACAUCACCUGCUGCUGUUUGUGAUGAAACCCCACAGGAAAUGAAUGCCAAAGGAACAAGGAUAGGAAGAAAAUAUGAUAACAGAAGCUCAUCAGCAGACUAUUCAUGAUAAGAAGAUAUCAUUUGGCUGAAAGAAUGAAGAGAAAAAUAGAUGGACUCUAUGGUUUAGGUGACUGCAAAUGGAAUACCUUUCACCUCUAAUUGACUGACUGAAAUGGAGGCAGUCUCCAUAGAGACUGAAAUUCUUCCCUGAGAGAUGGCAGUUAGGUAGAGAGACUGCAGAUGGAGGGUUGCAUCUCCAUUCCUAAGAGAGGGGAAGUAUGACUUUAGGACUAGAUUCACUGGUUUCCAUAGCUGAUCUGAGCUGUUAUCAGUCCCCCGUAUUUUAAAAUAUAGUGCUUCUGAAAGAAUGGUGAUUUAAAGAAAUAUAACUAAUUAUGGUAAGACAUUAAGAAAUGGGGAAGUGUUUGAGUCAAUCUUGUGCUUAAACCACUGCUGAAGCUAUUAAGCUUCAUGUUUUCUGUAUGAUUAUGCUCUGAAAUCCUGUAAUUAUAUUGUCAUAAAUAAAUGUUAUGAUUGAAAGAAUCAAGUAC
rnacentral:lncRNA from 1 species